AUGGAUCUUAGGCUAACAAGGAAAGCCAGGGGAAAGAUUCUUGGGACUUCAGCUGUUAAAGCCAGUUUAGUUAUAGUGGCAAUUGCCAGCCUUACAUUUUUUGUAGUGCUCCCCCGAAUCAUAAGUGAGAAAGGAAAGCUAACAGCCGGUGAAAGUGCUUUGUUCUCGUAUGAGAAAGCAAGUUCAAGUCAGCAUGCUUUGAGAAACUAG